rnacentral:rRNA from 1 species
GUGAACGCUGGCGGUAGGCCUAACACAUGCAAGUCGAAAGGCAGCACAGUAAGAGCUUGCUCUUACGGGUGGCGAGUGGCGGACGGGUGAGGAAUACAUCGGAAUCUACUUUUUCGUGGGGGAUAACGUAGGGAAACUUACGCUAAUACCGCAUACGACCUACGGGUGAAAGCAGGGGAUCUUCGGACCUUGCGCGAUUGAAUGAGCCGAUGUCGGAUUAGCUAGUUGGCGGGGUAAAGGCCCACCAAGGCGACGAUCCGUAGCUGGUCUGAGAGGAUGAUCAGCCACACUGGAACUGAGACACGGUCCAGACUCCUACGGGAGGCAGCAGUGGGGAAUAUUGGACAAUGGGCGCAAGCCUGAUCCAGCCAUACCGCGUGGGUGAAGAAGGCCUUCGGGUUGUAAAGCCCUUUUGUUGGGAAAGAAAAGCAGCAGGUUAAUACCCCGCUGUUCUGACGGUACCCAAAGAAUAAGCACCGGCUAACUUCGUG